GAUGAACGCUGACAGAAUGCUUAACACAUGCAAGUCAACUGUGGCGGACGGGUGAGUAACGCGUAAAGAACUUGCCUCACAGUUAGGGACAACAUUUGGAAACGAAUGCUAAUACCUGCUACUGUGAGAGAGCUUUGGGUCCCAUUAGCUAGUUGGAGAGGUAACGGCUCACCAAGGCGAUGAUGGGUAGCCGGCCUGAGAGGGUGAUCGGCCACAAGGGGACUGAGACACGGCCCUGACGACUACGGGGGGAAGCAGUGGGGAAUAAUGGACAAUGGACCAAAGUCUGAUCCAGCAAUUCGGUGUGAACGAUGAAGUUUUCGGAAUGUAAAGUGCUUUAAGUGGGGAAGCGGUACCAACAGAAGAAGUGACGGCUAAAUACGUGCCAGCAGCCGCGGUAAUAC
rnacentral:rRNA from 1 species